rnacentral:misc_RNA from 1 species
GAUGAAGAACGCAGCGAAAUGCGAUACGUAAUGUGAAUUGCAGAAUUCAGUGAAUCAUCGAGUCUUUGAACGCACAUUGCGCCCCCUGGUAUUCCGGGGGGCAUGCCUGUCCGAGCGUCAUUGCUGCCCUCAAGCACGGCUUGUGUGUUGGGCCUCCGUCCUCCUCCCGGGGGACGGGCCCGAAAGGCAGCGGCGGCACCGCGUCCGGUCCUCGAGCGUAUGGGGCUUCGUCACCCGCUCUUGUAGGCCCGGCCGGCGCUUGCCGACACAUCAAUCUUUUUUCCUGGUUGACCUCGGAUCAGGUAGGGAUACCCGCUGAACUUAAGCAUAUCAAUAAGCGGAGGA